AACUUUCAACAAUGGAUCUCUUGGCUCUCGCAUCGAUGAAGAACGCAGCGAAAUGCGAUAAGUAACGUGAAUUGCAGAAUUCAGUGAAUCAUCGAAUCUUUGAACGCACCUUGCGCCCCUUGGCUAUUCCGAGGGGCAUGCCUGUUUGAGUAUCAUGAUCACCUCAACUCUCAUGGUUUGCUGUGAUGAGGUUGGGCGCUGGGGGGUGUGCCGGCCUGUGGGCAGCUCCCCUACAGUGAAUCAGCCUGCGAGUGUUUGGUGGCAUGACGGGUUUGAUAAAGAGCUAUGCUCGUGGUUGUCUGCGAGGUGACCUUUGGUGCCAAAGGUUUGCUGGAGACCACAGAUGUCUCUCCUAAGCGAGGGCAGGUUUUUGAACGUUCGAUCUGAAAGCAGGUAGGACUACCCGCUGAACUUAAGCAUAUCAAUAAGCGGAGGCU
rnacentral:misc_RNA from 1 species